UGAACACACGAGCAUUACGCUCUUUCCACAUCAGGUAGAUGGCUGACUGAAAGUAGAGCUUGAUGACUAGAGUAGCAUGCGCAUCUGCGUUGACGCGAGGUUGAUUGAUCCAUGCUGCAACAGAGUGUAGAUCAGCCGGAGGAGAAAUCCAAACUUCAGCAGCAAAAGACUCUCAUAUCAAGCGAGAGAAAGAGCACUCAAAGAAGAGAUAAUGGUGAGUUUAUAUUUCCAGAUUACAAAGGACGCACGUUCCUCAGACAUUUAACCCCCAACGCCUCAAGCGAUCCUUGGUUGGCAGUCUUCUCCGCAAAGCCAGCCAUGAUAUAAACGCAUUACGUGGAAUAUGUUCCUUGAACCAAAU
rnacentral:lncRNA from 1 species